rnacentral:misc_RNA from 1 species
AACGCACAUUGCGCCCGCCAGCAUUCUGGCGGGCAUGCCUGUUCGAGCGUCAUUUCAACCCCUCAGGCCCUGGUGCCUGGCGUCGGGGCAUCUCCCUCGCGGGAGGCCCCCAGAGACAGUGGCGGACCCGCCGCGGCUCCGAGCGCAGUAGUAAAAUAUCUCGCUUAGGAGGCCCGCGGAGGAGCUUUCCGGCCGUAAAACCAGGUCUGCAAAGACCGACCCCACCAAGGUUGACCUCGGAUCAGGUAGGAAUACCCGCUGAACUUAA